rnacentral:rRNA from 1 species
UACGGGGGGAGCAAGCGUUGUUCGGAUUUACUGGGCGUAAAGGGCGCGUAGGCGGCCAGUGCAAGUCAGUUGUGAAAUCUCCGAGCUUAACUCGGAAAGGUCAACUGAUACUGCUCGGCUAGAGUGCGGAAGGGGCAACUGGAAUUCUUGGUGUAGCGGUGAAAUGCGUAGAUAUCAAGAGGAACACCUGCGGCGAAGGCGGGUUGCUGGGCCGACACUGACGCUGAAGCGCGAAAGCCAGGGGAGCGAACGGG